AUACGGAGGGUGCAAGCGUUACUCGGAAUCACUGGGCGUAAAGCGCGCGCAGGCGGCUAUUUAAGUUGGAUGUGAAAGCCUAUGGCUCAACCAUAGAACUGCAUCCAAAACUAUUUAGCUAGAGUGUGGGAGAGGAAGAUGGAAUUAGUUGUGUAGGGGUAAAAUCCGUAGAGAUAACUAGGAAUACCAAAAGCGAAGGCAAUCUUCUGGAACGCUACUGACGCUGAGGCGCGAAAGCGUGGGGAGCAAACAGGAUUAGAAACCCUAGUAGUCC
rnacentral:rRNA from 1 species